rnacentral:rRNA from 1 species
GUGAGGAAUAUUGCGCAAUGGAGGCAACUCUGACGCAGCCAUGCCGCGUGCAGGAAGAAGGCGCUACGCGUUGUAAACUGCUUUUAACCGGGAAGAAACCCCAGGACGUGUCCUGGGUUGACGGUACCGGAGGAAUAAGCACCGGCUAACUUCGUGCCAGCAGCCGCGGUAAUACGAAGGGUGCAAGCGUUAUCUGGAUUCAUUGGGUUUAAAGGGUGCGUAGGCGGAGCGUUAAGUCAGUGGUGAAAUCCUGCAGCUUAACUGUAGACUUGCCAUUGAUACUGGCGCUCUUGAGUGCGCUUGAAGUGGGCGGAAUGUGCCGUGUAGCGGUGAAAUGCUUAGAUAUGGCACAGAACACCAAUUGCGAAGGCAGCUCACUAAGGCGAUACUGACGCUGAGGCACGAAAGCGUGGGGAUCGAUCAGGAUUAGAUACCCCAGUAGUCC